GGGUAACCUGCCCUAUGCUGGGGAAUAAGCUCGGGAAACUGAGAAUAAUACCCCAUAGUCCACUACGCCUGGAACGGUGAGUGGAUCAAAGCUCCGGCGGCAUAGGAUGGGCCUGCGGCGUAUCAGGUUGUAGGGGGUGUAAUGUACCCUCUAGCCAUCCACGCGUACGGGUGUUGGGAGACAUUGCCCGGAGAUGGAUUCUGAGACACGAAUCCAGACCCUACGGGGUGCAGCAGGCGCGAAAACUUGGCAAUGCGAGAAAUCGUGACCAGGGAACUCCAAGUGCGUAGGGUAAGACCUACGCUUUUCUUGACUCUUCAAAGGUCUUGGAAUAAGGGGUGGGUAAGGACGGUGCCAGCCGCCGCGGUAAUACCGGCGCCUCAAGUGGUAGUCGCUUUUAUUGGGCCUAAAACGUCCGUAGCCGGUCUGGUGCAUUCGUGGGUAAAUCAACCCGCUCAACGGGUUGAAUUCUGCGAGCACGGUCAGACUUGGGACCGGGAGAGGUGUGGGGUACGCUCAGGGUAGGGGUAAAAUCCUGUCAUCCUGAGCGGACCACCUGUUGCGAAGGCGCCACACUAGAACGGAUCCGACGGUCAGGGACGAAGCCUAGGGGCACGAACCGGAUUAGAUACCCGGGUAGUCCUAGGUGUAAACGCUGUGGACUUGAUGUUGGGGGCGCUCCGAGCGCUCUCAGUGUC
rnacentral:rRNA from 1 species